rnacentral:rRNA from 1 species
GAUGAACGCUGGCGGCGUGCUUAACACAUGCAAGUCGAGCGAAGCACUUUUAAGGAAGUUUUCGGAUGGAAUUAAAAGUGACUGAGCGGCGGACGGGUGAGUAACGCGUAGGUAACCUGCCUCAUACAGGGGGAUAACAGUUGGAAACGACUGCUAAUACCGCAUAAGCGCACGGUGUCACAUGACACGGUGUGAAAAACUCCGGUGGUAUGAGAUGGACCCGCGUCUGAUUAGGUAGUUGGUGAGGGAACGGCCCACCAAGCCGACGAUCAGUAGCCGACCUGAGAGGGUGACCGGCCACAUUGGGACUGAGACACGGCCCAAACUCCUACGGGAGGCAGCAGUGGGGAAUAUUGGACAAUGGGGGAAACCCUGAUCCAGCGACGCCGCGUGAGUGAAGGAGUAUUUCGGUAUGUAAAGCUCUAUCAGCAGGGAAGAAAAUGACGGUACCUGACUAAGAAGCCCCGGCUAACUACGUGCCAGCCGCCGCGUAA